rnacentral:lncRNA from 1 species
ACAUAAACAAUAGGGCAGAGGAAGCAAUCGGAUAGGCAUUUGCUUCAGGUGAGCAGAGGGAUGACUUUCUGUCCCACAUCUGUGAAGAUCAGCUGUUGGUUUACAUUGCCAGGGUGAAAUUCAACAGAACUAAUUUAGGGUGAAGAUCUUGAGGCCCACAAGGAAUUUCCUUGUGGGAAAAUUGUGAGGAAGAUCGGAUGAGAGAAGAGAAGUGACUUCCCCAUGGUCACAUGUCUAGUUGGCAAUGGAAGUGGGAUUCAAGUCCAGUUCCACCUGACUUCAAAGCUUAUUCCUGUUUGACUUCACCCUGCU